rnacentral:rRNA from 1 species
AUUGAACGCUGGCGGCAUGCCUCACACAUGCAGGUCGCACGGUAACGCGGGGCAACCUGGCGACGAGUGGCGAACGGGUGACUAAUGCAUCGGAACGUGCCCGGUAGUGGGGGAUAACUGCUCGAAAGAGCAGCUAAUACCGCAUACGACCUGAGGGUGAAAGGGGGGGAUCGCAAGACCUCUCUCUAUCGGAGCGGUCGAUGUCGGAUUAGCUAGUUGGCGGGGUGAAGGCCUACCAAGGCGACUAUCCGUAGCUGGUCUGAGAGGACGACCCGCCACACAUGGACUGAAAUACGGCCCAGACUCCAACGGGAGGGCGCAGUGGGGAAUUUUGGACAAUGGACGCAAGUUUGAUCCAGCCAUGCAGCGUGCGGGAAGUGGGCCUUCGGGUUGUAAACCGCUUUUGUCAGGGAAGAAAUCUUCUGAGUUAAUACCUCGGGAGGAUGACGGUACCUGAAGCACAAGCACCGGCUAUCUACGUGCCAGCCGCCGCGGUAACAC